rnacentral:rRNA from 1 species
UACGUAGGUGACAAGCGUUAUCCGGAUUUAUUGGGCGUAAAGCGCACGCAGGCGGCUCUUCAAGUCUGACGUGAAAUCUCUCGGCUUAACCGGGAGCGGUCGUUGGAAACUGAAGGGCUUGAGGCGAUGAGAGGGGUGUGGAAUUCCCGGUGUAGUGGUGGAAUGCGUAGAUAUCGGGAGGAACAUCAGUGGCGAAAGCGGCACCCUGGCAUUAGCCUGACGCUCAUGUGCGAAAGCCAGGGGAGCGAACGGG